rnacentral:rRNA from 1 species
GUGAGGAAUAUUGGUCAAUGGGCGCUAGCCUGAACCAGCCAAGUAGCGUGAAGGAUGACUGCCCUAUGGGUUGUAAACUUCUUUUAUAUGGGAAUAAAGUGCAGUAUGUAUACUGCUUUGCAUGUACCUUAUGAAUAAGGAUCGGCUAACUCCGUGCCAGCAGCCGCGGUAAUACGGAGGAUCCGAGCGUUAUCCGGAUUUAUUGGGUUUAAAGGGAGCGUAGGCGGGUUGUUAAGUCAGUUGUGAAAGUUUGCGGCUCAACCGUAAAAUUGCAGUUGAUACUGGCAUCCUUGAGUACAGUAGAGGUAGGCGGAAUUCGUGGUGUAGCGGUGAAAUGCUUAGAUAUCACGCAGAACUCCGAUUGCGAAGGCAGCAUACCGGCGCUCAACUGACGCUGAGGCACGAAAGCGUGGGGAUCGAACAGGA